UCGAACGAGAGCAUGGAAGCUUGCUUCUAUAAUCUUAGUGGCGAACGGGUGAGUAACGCGUAAUCACCUGCCCUUCAGAGGGGGACAACAGUUGGAAACGACUGCUAAUACCGCAUACGUCGGCAUCGAGAAAGGUGGCCUUUUUAAAGCUAUCACUGAAGGAGGGGAUUGCGUCUGAUUAGCUAGUUGGAGGGGUAACGGCCCACCAAGGCGAUGAUCAGUAGCCGGUCUGAGAGGAUGAACGGCCACAUUGGGACUGAGACACGGCCCAGACUCCUACGGGAGGCAGCAGUGGGGAAUCUUCCGCAAUGGACGAAAGUCUGACGGAGCAACGCCGCGUGAGUGAUGACGGCCUUCGGGUUGUAAAGCUCUGUUAAUCGGGACGAAGGUUCUUGUGCGAAUAGUGCGAGGAUUUGACGGUACCGGAAUAGAAAGCCACGGCUAACUACGUGCCAGCAGCCGCGGUAAUACGUAGGUGGCAAGCGUUGUCCGGAAUUAUUGGGCGUAAAGCGCGCGCAGGCGGAUCAGUUAGUCUGUCUUAAAAGUUCGGGGCUUAACCCCGUGAUGGGAUGGAAACUGCUGAUCUAGAGUAUCGGAGAGGAAAGUGGAAUUCCUAGUGUAGCGGUGAAAUGCGUAGAUAUU
rnacentral:rRNA from 1 species